GUCUACGGCCAUACCACCCUGAACGCUGAACGCGCCUGAUCUUGUCUGAUCUCAGGCUAAGCAGGGUUGGGUCUGGUUAGUACUUGUGGGAGAAGGAGAAACAGGAAGCAGAAACCC
ensembl:rRNA 5S_rRNA 5S ribosomal RNA